GCAAGGCCAGGCAUGGGUGUCCAGGUGGAGAGCCAGCAAAUAGCAGCAUGGUUGCCCUAGGGGAAUGGGAGCGUGUCUUGUUGGCGGGCUAGAGGGAGGUACAGCUGGUCAGAGAGACUCUUUCCACUGGCAGGCACGGUCCCCUCCUCCAUGUGGGUCCAAGGCACUCACUCCAUGGCAGCAUUCCUGCUUUGAUGACACGUUUCCCAGUUGGAAGGAAAUCAAUCCAUGAAAAUCUGCUUCUGACUCCUGUUCUUUUCUCAAAGCACAUCAGCCGCAGAACAAGCCGGAUCUUGGGCAGAUCACGGAGCCCAUGAGCUGUCCAUGUGAAUAUUUUCAAACAUAAAAAGGAGGCAUACUGGCCUCUGGCUUGUGUCUCAAGCCUUUGAAUUAGCAACUCACUCGCCAAGAACGUGUUCCGAAUGGCUGGCUUGCGUGGCAGGGGAUAGUUCUUCGCAGAUUCAAAAUCUAGAUUACUACCAGAAAAUGUAAAGUGUCUGGUGAUUUGGGAAGUAAACCCUUUCCAGAUUUAAUUGAGAACCCAUGUGACUCCCAGAGCUACAAAGAGCACAUGCUAGCUGUCGAGUGAGACUGUGGCUAAUGUGGCACCAUUGCCAUAUGUUAGUAUGGGCAUCCUGAAAACAGACCUUGAUGCCAAUCAUUGAUUUGGAAGGGAGCCAGAUGAGGAGUGGGGCAGGGAGGGGAGCUGUUAAGGGUUUAGUGAGCUGGUCCCUGCUGUGGACUUUGGGGCUCAGCCUGGAAACCCUCUGAGGAAUUUCUGGGUGUCUAUUGACUGACUCCCAUCCUUCACCACCCUGGCUGUAAAUCCCUGGUAUUUCUGGGCUGCCCUACCUAGAGCUAAGUAAGCUCCCAUGGCCAGAAAAAGCCCCCAGGUAGAGAAGCAGGGAGAAGGGGCAGCUGAGGUGCACAAGGACUGUCCUCCACUGAGUGGGUAGAGUGUGCAUGGGGUCAUUUGUUUAUCUAUGACUCCCCUCUUCCCUCAGAAGCAGCAAGAGCCUGGAGAUACAGCAGGCAACUGAGUUCUAGAUGAUUCCCCCACUCAAACUCAAUCCAUUAGUUGUGUGGUACCAGCCCGGUGUUGGGCAGUGUCCUGAGGGCUGGGGAACGGCAGGGAACAAAGAGAUGAGUACUCCCACCCCUUGGAGUUUCCAUGCACAUAAUCAAUAUGUGAACCACAUAGCCUAUGAUUGUCUAAUCAUGAGAGUGACAGGAAAGAAGAGAAGAAACCAGGGUGGGGCCGGGAGCAUGGAGCCUCCAGUGUUAGAUCGGGGCUGGGGGCACUCAGAAGGGGCCAUUUGAGCCAACAUGUGAAGCUUCAUCAUGGGCAGAUCUGGGACCGUUUGGGCAGUGACCAUUGGCCACGAGGAUUGCAGUCAGUGUGGCAUCUUCUGGGACACUCAGUGCCACCUGGUCGGUGGCAGGACUGCCCAUCACAGUGGGGCUUCCUGCUGCAUGUGGGGCCAGGAGCAGAUGGGUCACCGUGGACCUCACCCACUGAGUGAACCCAACAUCUUCCCUGGUUUGAUGAAUCACUCACCCACCUCGGAGACUCAUCCGUCACGUGUCCUCUGAUGGAAGCUGAAUCACAACGGAGAGUUCAAGGAGCACCCAGGUCAGUGACGGGGUGGGUAGGCAGCCAUUUGAAAGAUUAAUUAGAGAAAUUUUCCACCAAAUGGGAGUUCUUGAGUCUGAGCCUAUGGACUAGUUUCCUUGGGUUUCUGUAACAAAUUACCACAAACGUGGUGGCCUAAAACAACAGAAAUUUAUUCUCUUACAGUUCUGGAGGCCAGAAGUCUGAAAUCCAGGCGUUGGCAGGGCCAUGCUUUCCCAGGAGCUCUAGGGGAGCAUUGCUCCAUGCCCUUCUCCUGGCUUCUGCUGUUGCCGGCAAUCCUUGGCGUCUGUUGAUUUGGGAUGCACCUGUCCUGUCUUCACAUCGGCUCCUCUUUGUCAAAUGACAAGUAAUAUAGUGAAGUAAAGAAGCAAGACUUCAAGCCCAGCUACAGAGAUUUGUAGCCUCAGGCAAAUGGAUCUCUGAACACUUCUGCACCUCAUUUUGCCUGUUUGUGAAAUGGAGAUAAUUUCUGCUUUAUCCACUUUACCUUUGGUCAAGGAUGCAAAAAAUCAUAUGUUGAAGUGUUCCGGAAAUGACCAGCUAUCACCAACAUCCAUCCAGAACCUUCUCAUCUUGCAUAACUGAAACUUGGUCGGCAUGAAACACUCACUUCCCCGACCCCCGCCCAGCCCCUGGUGGCCUCCACUCUACCUUCCAUCUCCAUGAGUGUGACUGCU